rnacentral:rRNA from 1 species
GUGAUGUGGAGCGAAUCUCAAAAAAUUAGUCCCAGUUCGGAUUGCAGGCUGCAACUCGCCUGCAUGAAGUCGGAAUCGCUAGUAAUCGCGAAUCAGAAUGUCGCGGUGAAUACGUUCCCGGGCCUUGUACACACCGCCCGUCACACCAUGAGAGUCGAUAACACCCGAAGCCUGUGAGCUAACCUUAGGGGAGCAGCAGUCGAAGGUGGGGUUGAUGAUUAGGGUGAAGUCGUAACAAGGUAGC